GACGAACGCUGGCGGCGUGCCUAAUACAUGCAAGUUGAGCGCUGAAGGUUGGUACUUGUACCGACUGGAUGAGCAGCGAACGGGUGAGUAACGCGUGGGGAAUCUGCCUUUGAGCGGGGGACAACAUUUGGAAACGAAUGCUAAUACCGCAUAAAAACUUUAAACACAAGUUUUAAGUUUGAAAGAUGCAAUUGCAUCACUCAAAGAUGAUCCCGCGUUGUAUUAGCUAGUUGGUGAGGUAAAGGCUCACCAAGGCGAUGAUACAUAGCCGAACUGAGAGGGUGAUCGGCCACCUUGGGACUGAGCAACGGCCCAAACUCCUACGGGAGGCAGCAGUAGGGAAUCUUCGGCAAUGGACGAAAGUCUGACCGAGCAACGCCGCGUGAGUGAAGAAGGUUUUCGGAUCGUAAAACUCUGUUGGUAGAGGAGAACGUUGGUGAGAGUGGAAAGCUCAUCAAGUGACGGUAACUACCCAGAAAGGGACGGCUAACUACGUGCCAGCCGCCGCCGUAA
rnacentral:rRNA from 1 species